GGGGCCGAACUAGGAUCGACGUGUGUUGAAAAGCGGUGCCUUCACCCGGCCUGAGUAAGCCGUAAAAAUGUUCAAAACUCACAAGUGCCAACGAUAACGAGGCUCUUGCUCUUGCUGCGUAAUUGAUGGCCUCACGGCCGGACAUUACUCAAAAAGAACGCGGUUGAACCCACCGGGCAACAGAAGGGAAUUCAGCGGCUUCCGGAGGGGCCGGGCAACAGAACCCUCCGGACC
rnacentral:tmRNA from 1 species